rnacentral:tRNA from 1 species
CGGGCGGUAGCUCAGUGGUAGAGCUCCCGCUUCGUAUGCGGGGAGGUCUAAGUUCGACUCCUGGCUGCUUAC